GUUCACUUCAGCAGCACCUAUACUAAAAUUGGAACAAUACAAGGAAGAUUAGCAUGGCCCCUGUACAAAGAUGACACAUAAAUUUGUGAGGCAUUUCAUAUUUUU